GGAAAACAUUGAAUUUCAUUUUUUAAAAGGACAUAGAUGCUAUAAAACUGCAGAACAUGUGAGGUGAGUUAUUUAAAUUUGUUUACAGAUCAUACCCAGUAUGACAGUCUACCUCUAGAGAUCACUUUUAAAAGCUCCAUGGUUUUGAAUAUGACCCCAUCUUUUAGUUGAAAAAGUUUUCUCAUACAAUAUAUUCUGAUCAUGCUUUCCCUCCUCCAGUGUCUGCCAGCUCCCCCCACCGCCUCAGUGAACCAACUCCAUGUCCUUUCUUUCUUUAAGCAAAACCAAAAAAAAAAGCCCUGAAGAAAUACACAUACAUGUCACACACACACACACACAAAAUGCUCAAACAAAGCAAUAUGUGUCAAAAAAUAUACAAAAAAAUAGCAUUGAGCUUGCUUUGUGUUGCAAACUACUCCUGAGCAUGAGGCCUGUCCUUAAAUACGGUUAAUAUACCUAGUGACACUCCAUUGGAGAAAACUCAUUUUUCCUUUACAAGUGGGUAUUAAUUGUAGAUAGCUUCUUGGUCCAGUGCCAGGACCUAGCUUAAAAACAUCUUUUUUUCCUAAAACAAAAUAUUAAUUUAGAAGUUGAUGUUGAGGGCUGACAAGAUAGCUCAGCAGGUAAAGGUAAAGGUGCUUGCUGCUAAGUCCGAUGAACCGAGUUUAAUCCCCAGUAUCUAUGUAGUGGAAGGAGAGAAUUAACUCUAUGUGUGUGCACACUUACACACAUACACACACAAAGCAUGCACACAUAUGCACACACAAUGU
rnacentral:lncRNA from 1 species